rnacentral:rRNA from 1 species
AUUGAACGCUGGCGGCAUGCCUUACACAUGCAAGUCGAACGGCAGCGGGGACUUCGGUCCGCCGGCGAGUGGCGAACGGGUGAGUAAUGUAUCGGAACGUACCUUUCAGUGGGGGAUAACGUAGCGAAAGUUACGCUAAUACCGCAUAUUCUCUGAGGAGGAAAGCAGGGGACCUUCGGGCCUUGUGCUGAUGGAGCGGCCGAUAUCAGAUUAGCCAGUUGGUGAGGUAAAGGCUCACCAAGGCGACGAUCUGUAGCGGGUCUGAGAGGAUGAUCCGCCACACUGGGACUGAGACACGGCCCAGACUCCUACGGGAGGCAGCAGUGGGGAAUUUUGGACAAUGGGCGCAAGCCUGAUCCGGCCAUGCCGCGUGAGUGAAGAAGGCCUUCGGGUUGUAAAGCUCUUUCGGACGGGAAGAAAUUGGUGGGGCUAAUAUCCCCAUCGGAUGACGGUACCGUAAUAAGAAGCACCGGCUAACUACGUGCCAGCCGCCGCUGUAAAAC